rnacentral:rRNA from 1 species
UGUAGUGACGAUAGCACAUUGAAUCCACCAGUCCCCGAUGGUCCCAAUGGAUCACUGAAGUUAAGCAACGUUGCGAGUGUUUAGAAUCCGGAUGGGUGAUUAACUGGGGACAGUCUAGAACUCUAGAA